AACGAACGCUGGCGGCAGGCUUAACACAUGCAAGUCGAGCGCCCCGCAAGGGGAGCGGCAGACGGGUGAGUAACACGUGGGGAUCUGCCCAAUGGUACGGAAUAGCUCCGGGAAACUGGAAAUAAUACCGUAUGUGCCCGCAAGGGGAAAGAUUUAUCGCCAUUGGAUGAACCCGCGUCGGAUUAGCUAGUUGGUGUGGUAAAGGCGCACCAAGGCGACGAUCCGUAGCUGGUCUGAGAGGAUGAUCAGCCACACUGGGACUGAGACACGGCCCAGACUCCUACGGGAGGCAGCAGUGGGGAAUAUUGGACAAUGGGCGCAAGCCUGAUCCAGCCAUGCCGCGUGAGUGAUGAAGGCCUUAGGGUUGUAAAGCUCUUUCGCCGACGAAGAUAAUGACGGUAGUCGGAGAAGAAGCCCCGGCUAACUUCGUGCCAGCAGCCGCGGUAAUAC
rnacentral:rRNA from 1 species